rnacentral:rRNA from 1 species
GAUGAACGCUGGCGGCGUGCCUAAUACAUGCAAGUCGAGCGAACAGACGAGGAGCUUGCUCCUCUGACGUUAGCGGCGGACGGGUGAGUAACACGUGGAUAACCUACCUAUAAGACUGGGAUAACUUCGGGAAACCGGAGCUAAUACCGGAUAAUAUAUUGAACCGCGUGGUUCAAUGGUGAAAGACGGUUUUGCUGUCACUUAUAGAUGGAUCCGCGCCGCAUUAGCUAGUUGGUAAGGUAACGGCCUACCAAGGCAACGAUGCGUAGCCGACCUGAGAGGGUGAUAGGCCACACUGGAACUGAGACACGGUCCAGACUCCUACGGGAGGCAGCAGUAGGGAAUCUUCCGCAAUGGGCGAAAGCCUGACGGAGCAACGCCGCGUGAGUGAUGAAGGUCUUCGGAUCGUAAAACUCUGUUAUUAGGGAAGAACAAAUGUGUAAGUAACUAUGCACGUCUUGACGGUACCUAAUCAGAAAGCCACGGCUAACUACGUG